GACGAACGCUGGCGGCGUGCUUAACACAUGCAAGUCGAACGCUGAAGCUCAGCUUUUGUUGGGUGGAUGAGUGGCGAACGGGUGAGUAACACGUGAGUAACCUGCCCCCUUCUUUGGGAUAACGCCCGGAAACGGGUGCUAAUACUGGAUAUUCACUGGUCUUCGCAUGGGGGUUGGUGGAAAGGGUUUUUCUGGUGGGGGAUGGGCUCGCGGCCUAUCAGCUUGUUGGUGGGGUGAUGGCCUACCAAGGCUUUGACGGGUUGCCGGCCUGAGAGGGUGACCGGUCACAGUGGGACUGAGAUACGGCCCAGACUCCUACGGGAGGCAGCAGUGGGGAAUAUUGCACAAUGGGCGCAAGCCUGAUGCAGCGACGCCGCGUGAGGGAUGGAGGCCUUCGGGUUGUGAACCUCUUUCGCUCAUGGUCAAGCCGCAACAAUGGUUGUGGUGAGGGUAGUGGGUAAAGAAGCGCCGGCUAACUACGUG
rnacentral:rRNA from 1 species